UACGUAGGGUGCGAGCGUUGUCCGGAAUUAUUGGGCGUAAAGGGCGCGUAGGCGGUUUGACAAGUCUGAUGUGAAAUCUCUGGGCUCAACCCAGAGUCUGCAUUAGAAACUGUCGGGCUUGAGUAUGGGAGAGGUGAGUGGAAUUUCCGGUGUAGCGGUGAAAUGCGUAGAUAUCUGGAGGAACACCGGUGGCGAAGGCGGCAUCCUGGACCGAUACUGACGCUGAGGAGCGAAAGCCAGGGGAGCAAACGGG
rnacentral:rRNA from 1 species